rnacentral:ncRNA from 1 species
CUAAGGUUUGGUCCCAGCCUUCUUAUUAGCUGAUAGCAAAAUUACACAUGCAAGUCUCCACCCCCCUGUGAGAAUACCCUUUAAAUCAAUUUAUGAUCCAAAGGAGUUGGUAUCAAGUACACUUAUUUUAAGUAGCUCAUGACACCUUGCUAAGCCACACCCCCACGGGAAACAGCAGUGAUAAAAAUUAGGCCAUAAACGAAAGUUUGACCUAGUUAUGCUAUUAUAGGGUUGGUAAAUUUCGUGCCAGCCACCGCGGUCAUACGAUUAACCCGAGCCAAUAAGCACCGGCGUAAAGCGUGUUAAAGAAAAAGUAUUCAAAAUAAAGUUAAGACCUAGCCAGGCUGUAAAAAGCAUUAGCUAAAAGAAAAUUAAACAACUAAAGUGACUUUAUUGGAUCUUACACACGAUAGCUAAGAACCAAACUGGGAUUAGAUACCCCACUAUGCUCAGCCAUAAACCAAAAUUAUUUACUAACAAAAUUAUUCGCCAGAGGACUACUAGCAACAGCUUAAAACUCAAAGGACUUGGCGGUGCUUUAUAUCCAUCUAGAGGAGCCUGUUCUAUAAUCGAUAAACCCCGAUAAACCUCACCACUUCUUGCCAAAUCCGCUUAUAUACCGCCAUCUUCAGCAAACCCUUAAAAGGAGCAAUAGUAAGCCCAAGUAUUUUACAUAAAAACGUUAGGUCAAGGUGUAGCUAAUGAAGUGGGAAGAAAUGGGCUACAUUUUCUAAACAAUAUAGAACAUUCACUAUAAACGAAAGUCUUUAUGAAAUUAUAGACUAAAGGAGGAUUUAGUAGUAAGUCAAGAAUAGAGUGCUUGACUGAAUAAGGCCAUGAAGCACGCACACACCGCCCGUCACCCUCCUCAAGUAUAAUAAACUUCCCAUAUAUUUAAUUAUCACGUAAUUUAUAUUAGAGGAGAUAAGUCGUAACAAGGUAAGCAUACUGGAAAGUGUGCUUGGAUGAAC